rnacentral:lncRNA from 1 species
AUGCUUGAAUUGACACCUACAAAAAUGAGAAACAUCAACCGUGGCGUAAAACCCAGCUCCUCAGGUGAUAGCCUGUUUGUUAAGAACCUAGCUCACACAGUGUUUUCUGUGCCACUGCUUCUCGAGUCUUCGGUUUCUGGUAUGAAAUCUAAUAAGUCAGAUAUAGCCUAUCCUCCUCUCCCUGAAGCUGGAAUGAUCCUCAUUGAAAAAAAGUUUAGUGAACGACUUGAUAAAGAGAAAAUCUCUGAAAGCGAAAAAGAAAUUCGCCUAGCAAAAAUGUCGAAGUAUGUGGGUGAGAAAAUAAAUGAUCUUCGAAAAGCUCAAAAAAAAAGAAGUGGAGGUGGUAUCAGCGUGAAAAAUGUUGUCAGCCCGAAAGAUGUCAGCUUGAAUGAUGUUGUCAGCCCGAAAAAUGUCAGUCCGGAAGGUGCUGAAAGCCCGGAAAUAGCUGAUAGCCCGGAAGAUUCUAUCAGCUGCAAUUGAAUACCUACAUUUUCUAUUCUUUCAUAAUCUUUUUCUUUUUUUCUUUCUGGAAAUGUUUGGAGUGAUUUUUCCAAUAUUGGCUAGUGUCAAGAAGUCUCAGGAAACUCUCAUUUAAGGUGAUUCGAUGGACGCCAUAUUUUGUGUCAGAACGGCAUGCGAUAUAUUGCAUCAAUUGGUUCCAUUUUUCAGCUACUCGUCAUUUUUCUCCUAUUUUGAAAUCGCAAUUCUGUUGUCAGGAGACUAAAGCACUCACUUACCAAUUUUAACAAAAAAAUUCAACGUAAUAAAGGCGUGGUUUUCUUAGAGAGAAAAUAUCGCAUUCGAGUGCAGUUUCGAUAUCAGUAUCGAAUGCAAUGUUUUCUCUCUGAAAAAACCACACCUUUAUUACGUUGAAUUUCUUUGUUAAAUUGGUAAGUGAGAGCUUUAGUCUCCUGACAACAGAAUUGCAAUCUCAAAAUUGGAGAAAAAUGACGAGUAGCUGAAAAGAAUGGAAUUAAUUGAUGCGAUGUACCGCAUGCCGUUCUGACACAAAUAUGGCGUCCAUCGAAUCACCUUAACAUUUUUACUUUUCUAAUACCUACAUUUAGAGUCAAAUCUUUUUCAAUUUUUUAUUUUUUUCUGACAAUUGUUGGAUUGAUUUUUCCAAUAUAGGCUAAUAUUUCUGUUUACGAUGCUUCCUUGUAAAUCAACUGUAUAUUUAUAAAUCAGUUGUAUAUUUGUAAAUCAGCUGUUCAGUUGUAAUCCACUUGUUCAUAUGUACCUAUACUGUCAUAAAUGUAUAUACACUGCAGCUUGACAUUUGUCUUGCAUCGUAAAUAAUUUUCUUUUAUUUUAUUUAGUUCUAAAACACAGUUCGUAUUUUCUGCUCAGCAGCUUCAAGUUUUAAUUAGUGCUAAUUUUUUUUUUCAUACUACACUUGUUCUUCUGUGAUUGAAGAAUUUUACUAAAUAAUCUCACCAGAAGAAAAGUAAGGCCUUCCCAUUUCAAAAGCAACAGUAGGGAUUUCCUUUUGGGUUCUAUAGGUCCCAGUGAAAAAUCCCCAUGGAUUCCCAUCACUCCCAUGGGCCCCCAUGGCCCAGUCCCCAUGGGGACCCAUGGGAACCCAGGGCAAAAACCCCAUGGGAAAUAUUGAUGGGGAUCCAUGGGGAUUUUUCCCAUGGGACCUUUUUGACAGGGCCAAACCUUUUGAACCAGGAAAGGCUUAUGAUGGAUCUGGGGUCCUUUAAAGAAUUGUGAAAAAACAUGAAAAACCAUUUCAAAAACCAGCUCAUCUAACAUGUACCGCUUGAAACAUCAAAUUGCUACAGAGACCCAACUCCAUCAGAUUGACGCUACAUACACGUCUAAUCUGGCAUCAUUCUUGGGUCAUUCACUGUCCAUCCAUCAUAAAAAUUACCGACGACCAGCCGCAAUGGUUUAGCUGGUCGGUUGCUGAAUUUUCGGAAACCACAAACCUCAGUAGCCAACCGAGUAAACGAAGAGCAAACGAAUGGAAUGAAUUCUGUUCGGAAGAAAAUGAUGAUGAAGGAGAUUGGAGGAUUGUAAAGGCGGUAAAAACUCAACUUCACCGUGUCAUUGGGGAACACACCCUUACUUUUGAGGAAUUCACCACCAUAUUAACGCAAAUCGAAGCAUUACUCAACAGUCGCCCCUUAUGCCUCGUGAACGACGAUCCCGAGGCUCCUUCGGCCUUGACUCCUGCACACUUCCUUACCCCAGGUUCAGAUGGCGUUGUACGCGCAGCCACUGUGAAAAUGGCCGCAGGGUCAGGGUGCCUAAAACGGCCAGUGGUAAAGCUGUAUCCACACUGAAAAACGAGAUUAGGGCUGGGCCCUAGAAUUGCUUCACCUCCACCGCCACAGGAGCAGACUCUGCAAGGGUAAGGCCCAGCCCUACCUGGACAGGGUCUAGCUCUUACCAGGUAGGGCUGAACCCUGAAACAGGUAGGUAGAUUUAGGCUCUACGCGCGCCGGGCCUGCCCCUAUGGCGGUGGAGGUGAAGCAAUUUUACCUACCCGGUUAGGGCUGGGACCUUCGGUGCAGGUACCAGCCCUAAACUCGUUUUUUCCGUCUGUAUCCAUUACCCACAUAGUAAAGUGUAUUUCGACUUUCUUUUUCUCUCUCCUAUUUUUCAUACUGUCCACUACACACCUAUCAUCUUACUUUUUCGCACUAAUGAACAUAUUAAAAGUGUUACAGUGUUCACAAAUCUCGUUUCUUUUUAAUUUCAGAUCAUGUCAGAUUUUACUUUACGUGCGGUUAUUUCGAACCUCCAAAGAAAGAAAGAGAAGGAGACUUCAAAUAAACAGUUGCGGUUGUUGCUUCUAUUCCUCACGUGCAUCCUGUUCCCUUCCCUCACCCCCCCCCUUUUUCUGUGUUCAGAGUGUCUGAGCGACAGAAUUUAAAAAACCACCGUUGCGAACCACGCUCACGAAAUUAUUCGAAAACAACCAAUGUGAUAUCUUAGAUCACCCGCUGCGGCCGCCAUUUGUUAAAUGUACAAAUAGACACAGCAUCUGUGGUACGUGUCGCCGCAAGAUGACACAAGAUUUGUGCCCGUUCUGCCGAGUCCCCUUGGCGUCGGUAAUUCAAGAACCUUUGUAGGAUGCAGUGUUUUUCGCCGUUCAUCCGACCUUUACAUCGGAAGACUCAGAGCCUCCAUUAGGCCGGGGGGCCAGGCGUUCUGUCGACUUGACCACUACAGAGCCGUCGCGACCGCCGAGAGGCAGAGGGUACUUACUAUCCCGGAUGGGCUUAACGAAUUCUUCCCUACCCCCAAGCCAAAGGGUGCAAUUGUCUUCCAGAUCGAAUGAGCCGGGGUUCAGCGUAGCCCCUCCUAGACACUCCCCAAGGCCAGAACCAGAAGAGUCAGAGGGAGGUUUUGACGAUAGGACGUCGAACCGAACUGAAAGACAAGAUGCGGAUCCGCAGAGAGCAAUUGGCAGAAGUUUGAUAGAAUCAGCCUUUGAAGAAGCUCUGUACUCCCUAGAUGUGGAUGACCUGGGGAAUAUUUUCGCGAGGAUCCCUGUUCGUAGGUACUAGUGUUGGUUCGGGACCCCUGCUACCAGGGCUCGGGCUGUCUCUGCUGUGUCAGCAGGGCGGGUCAUCCUACUCGUCUUGAUCCCCUUGGGGUUCAAGGCGGGCAGGUAUGUUACCGCCAUUGAGACAUAUCAGCUGGAACGGUCUGGGCCACGGUAGUGAACGAAAAGAAAAAGUGGUAUUGCAUUGCAGUCAGAAAAAGUUGGUUGAUCUGUCCAGUCCCUGUUUUUUAGUGAUCUAAUUCUUUGAAAACCUUUUGUUUCCCGAAAAAAAGAAGCUUUUGCUUCUCUCUGAAAAGUGAGUUCUUUAUUAGUAUUCUUCACCCAUGAUAGAGCAAAACGCCAUUACCCACCCAGUCCAGUUGCCCAUCGCAACAAGAGGGAUUGGCUUUACGGUUGCCCAUUACUUUUCUAACACCACGUUUAUCAAUAAAAUCAAUUAUGGACCAAUCGACAUACACACGUAUUAUCGUGUAUACCUGGCUUUUUUCGAAAUUCGGAUGCGACAACUGAACUCUGAGAAACCGCUUGUCGACCGCCGAACAUUGACCAAGUCGUCUUACGUUCCGCUGAUCUAUCGAACGUAAUCUAUUCGCUGACAUCCGCACCAGAGUAUGUUUCCCUGAUCUUAACCCAGAUUGGUAUUGUCCGUACCAAUGAGAAGGUUUAUUCUCCGAGCAUUGCGCCGCUACGUCAUAAUAGAGAGGAUAACCUGGUACCGUUGCCAGAAAACGUUAUCUAUUCGACAAUUGAGGCUGUCGUUUCAUCACUGGCCAACGCGGAUACGCCCGCUUGUUACCGACAAGUAUUUCGGAACUAAUCCCCCCCCCCCCCCCGUGCCAUCUGGGAUCAAAACGACGCCUUGCAGAAUCCAAGGGACUUCUGACCCCCAGGGUAUAAUUUGGAUACGUUGCAACGCGAGGUCAACAUGGGCGCCACGUUUAAUGGUGUUGUUCAAAACCAACUACCAAAGCUCGUGGCGAUGUUGCCUAAGCUUGAGGGAUAUCCCGGAAGCCUUUACUCAACGAAAUAUUUUUGGCGGCCGACGGAAAUUGUUAGAGAAAUGAACUUCGAGCGAGUGAGGCGACUAUCCGAUUAAUUGCAGAUACAGAUGGAGAUAUCCGCAAGUUCCGAUGGGCGAUAUCUUGGAAGGCUGCUGAGAGAAAGAGGCGCUGGAACAGAUGUGAAAGUUGAGUGCUACCCUUCAGGGAAAUUCAAUGAGGUCACAGACGAUAUUCGACCUCGAAGGGAGGCGGUGACUGUGAUCAUCGCCGGAGGCAACGAUGUCACCAUGACAAAAGAG